AUACGGAGGAUGCAAGCGUUAUCCGGAUUUAUUGGGUUUAAAGGGUGCGUAGGCGGACUAAUUAGUCAGCGGUGAAAGUUUGCAGCUUAACUGUAAAAAUGCCGUUGAAACUGUCGGACUUGAGUGUAAAUGAGGUAGGCGGAAUGCGUGGUGUAGCGGUGAAAUGCAUAGAUAUCACGCAGAACUCCGAUUGCGAAGGCAGCUUACUAAGCUACAACUGACACUGAAGCACGAAAGCGU
rnacentral:rRNA from 1 species